GAGUUUGAUCCUGGCUCAGGAUGAACGCUGGCGGCGUGCCUAAUACAUGCAAGUCGAACGCGGGCACUUGUGCCCGAGUGGCGAACGGGUGAGUAAUACAUAAGUAACCUGGCCUUUACAGGGGGAUAACUGCUGGAAACGGCAGCUAAGACCGCAUAGGUAGGGACACUGCAUGGUGACCGUAUUAAAAGUGCUGCAAGGCACUGGUAGAGGAUGGACUUAUGGCGCAUUAGCUGGUUGGUGAGGUAACGGCUCACCAAGGCGACGAUGCGUAGCCGACCUGAGAGGGUGACCGGCCACAUUGGGACUGAGACACGGCCCAAACUCCUACGGGAGGCAGCAGUGGGGAAUAUUGCACAAUGGGGGAAACCCUGAUGCAGCGACGCCGCGUGAGUGAAGAAGUAUUUCGGUAUGUAAAGCUCUGUCAGCAGGGAAGAAAAUGACGGUACCUGACCAAGAAGCCCCGGCUAACUACGUGCCAGCAGCCGCGGUAAUACGUAGGGGGCAAGCGUUAUCCGGAUUUACUGGGUGUAAAGGGAGCGUAGACGGCAGGGCAAGUCUGGAGUGAAAGGCGGGGGCUCAACCCCCGGACUGCUCUGGAAACUGCCAGGCUGGAGUGCAGGAGAGGUAAGU
rnacentral:rRNA from 1 species